rnacentral:rRNA from 1 species
UCGCCUGUUUAUCAAAAACAUCGCUAAAAGUAGUUGAUUUUUAGUAGUACCUGCCCAGUGCGUACUAUCUUGUUAACGGCCGCCUUAGCGUGAGGGUGCUAAGGUAGCGAAAUUCCUUGCCUUUUAAUUGUAGGCCAGCAUGAAUGGUUUGACGAGGGCCUCACUGUCUCUUAGUUCUAUGUUGAAAUUGUAGUGUAGGUGAAGAUACCUUCAUAAAAAAGUAAGACAAAAAGACCCCGUGCAACUUUGAAAAUUAAGCUAGAUUAAAUGGCAAAAGAUUUUUAGGUGGGGCGCCAAAAGAGGAAACUAUAACCUCUGCUGUUUAAGCUAAUUCUUACUGGAGUUGACCUGACUUAAGUCGAUCAAAGGAGAAGUUACGCCGGGGAUAACAGGCCAAUUCUUUAGUAAAGCUCGUAUUAACUAAAGGGCUUGGCACCUCGAUGUUGAAUCAGGGAUUAUAGCUUCAAGGCGUAGAUGCUUUGAUUAGUAGGUCUGUUCGACCUUUGAAACCCUACGUGAUCUGAGUUCAGACCGGA